GUCUACAGCCAUACCACCCUGAACAAGCCCGAUCCCGUCUGAUCUCGGAAAUUAAGCCGGGUCGGGCCUGGUUAGUACUUGGAUGGGAGACCACCUAGGAAGACCAGAUACUGUAGACG
rnacentral:rRNA from 1 species